AUAAUUUAAGACUGGAAUGAAAGAGUCAACUUAAAGAGAUAUAUCUAUUUAAUAAAUUUCAAAUCUUACUUUUUAGUAAAAAGGCUAAAAUUAAACUUAUAGACAAGAAGACCCUGUAAAACUUUACACAACCAAAUCUAAUAAUCUACCCUUGUGUUCAGCUGGGGCGGCAUAAGAUUCUAACAUCUUAAAAUUUUAAUAAAAAUUUAAAAUACCCAGAAUUUCUGAAAAUUAAACAAGCUACUUCAGGGAUAACAGCGUAAUAUAUUUUGAAAGACCCUAUUGACAAAAAUGUUUGCGACCUCGAUGUUGGAUUGU
rnacentral:rRNA from 1 species